GGAUGUGUCCGCCCUGCUGCACAGCCUUUGGGAGAUUAUGCAGGGGUGGAGUUCUGGUCUAACGAUGCUGAAGAGACCAGGGGUGCUGUGUUCGAUGUGAGGCAGAGCCAUGCAGAAGUGUGGAGGUUUUACACUGGAGACAGAAAGCAUUCUAGUUUGCCAAUGAGUGUGUAAACGAUGGUCGGCGUAUAAGGCGAGACCAGUCAGGAUGCCUGGGAUGCUACACUCCUUAAUUUGUGUCCUGCCUGGUAAGCAAAAGGUAGCUCCAAGAAAAGCCACGCUCGAGUCAACAUGAAUCUUGGGAACAGACAACCAUGGAAAGACCGGGAAGGCAGCUGUUCUCCAUGCACGGGAGAUGUGCAGAGACUCAGCUCUGUGUCAGCGAGGACCUGUCUCUUCUCUUAAAAUUGAGAUAAGCAUUCUUAGAGAUAAGCAAAUAAAUCUCUUGGUAAAAUGCCUGCC
rnacentral:lncRNA from 1 species